rnacentral:lncRNA from 1 species
AAAUUAUCAAUAAUUAAAAUUUACUUUUUAUUAUAAUUUAAAUUAUUCAUUACAAAACUAAAAUAUAAGUACAACUGCGUCAUAGAGAGGAAGAGGUUGCUGCUAGUAUAGAAGCCUUUGUUUACAGAUUUGAAGAAUGAUCAACCCAGUUCUGUGAAUUCAAUAGGGAAUGCAGUUGACACCUUUCCAAUUCAACCAGGAAGUCUUGCUACGAAUGCUGAAUCUUUAAAACCCAUUUCAUUUACAAAUUCAGUAUUGAAAGCACAUGGAUAUAAUAAUCUCAGUGGCAUUUCUGAUCUGCAAUUCAACAUUUUUUUUCAAAAGAAAUGUGUGAAACAGGAGUAGUUCAAUUGCAUAUUAUAGAGUAAAAUGUAAUAACAGAUUGCCUAAAGCCAAACACUUGGAAAGUCUCGCCUCUUGAGAACUUUCUUGUUUCGAAUGAUGUACUUUUUUAAUUGUUAAUUAAUCAUAUGCUUGUACUGGCUGAAAAUUCGGACAGGAGCUCAAUGUUCUAAAUAAUAAAUGAAAACAUAAUCUGUCAUCUAACAAAGUGCAGCUUUUGAGAACAAAUUCACAAAAUAAAAGUACUGGCAGGACUCUUUGAAAUGAGUAAUGCAUUACAAAUGAGUUGUGUGAGAGAAGAUGAUCAGAAAACGAGAGCAGGUAAGGUACUAGAAAUUUAGAUUCUGCAUGACAGAUAAUUCAAUUUUGUUAAACAAGAGUUUAACAAAAGGAUCUGAAUGUGAAGGUGUCACAACAAGUGCUGCAGGAUAGGUUACUUUGGUUAGCUGAAGGAGGAAUUUCCUCAGUGAAAUCGGCAUAUGAUAUGAGGUCAUACAAAAUUCUGUAAAUUCUGAAUAUAGCUUAGAAUUGGAAACCCAUUGGGAAGUUAAGGCUAUCCCAAUCCAAAUGCUCUAUGUUUAGCUUGGAGAAUUUUGAAAAGCAAAGUACCGACAAGGGUGAAUCUAAUAAGAAGAGGUGUAAUCCUACCCACAAUUUUGUGCCCAUUACGUAAUGCAGCUGAAGAAACGACUAACCAUCUCUUUAUGGAAUGCCAAAUAGCACACCAUUUGAUACAUCUUAGCAUGAAAAGGAAUAGAGCGUAGAAGAGUGUUUGGGUAACGGUCUUAUGGUGCAUAUGGAGGCAAAGGAGUGAGGUUGUUUUUAAGGAUGAGAAGGUGGAUGCUGAAGAAAUCUUUAACCUAGCCCAGCUACAGGCUUGGUCUUGGAUGAAGAGGAAAAGCCUUUAGUUUUUCCUAUUAGGACUGGGCAUUAAAUCCCAGGGCAUGUUUACAAUCCUUAAGCUAACUAUGUGGUUAGUCUACAGGUGCCGCUUAAGGGUAUGUUUCUGGCAUACAUGUUUUUCAGGUGGAAGGUUUGAAGCACCAAGAGUUCUGAUUUUGUGAGCUGUUGAGAAAUUGUAUCUGCAAUUCUGCAAUACUGAUUCUGCAGUAAUUAUGCAGAGAAAUUACUAUGUAAAAUGUAAAGAAUUGAUAUACCUCUUAGCCUAGGAAGGGGAAGGAUCUUGUUUACUGAGUUGCAGGCAAAGGAAGAAGAAAGUGGCACCUUCAUUAGCUACGUUGAUAAUUAGGUAGCAGGAGGCAAAUGCAGAACAGAGAAGUGGACGGCAGCAGGUGGAAGGUUGAAUAAGUAGGACGUGAGAAGUAAACUAUUAGAAGGAAAGUAAUGUAGAAUGAAAAAGCAGCAAGCUAUGUUUCAAGACUGUGGCAGCAGAAGUUCAGAUUGGUUAAGAUUCUGGAAUUGUAAUAUAAAAGGACAGCAAACAUAGGUUCAGGACAAUUCGGAAUUUGUAGACAAAGACAGUGAAGACCUAAGGAUAUGCAGCGAGAGAUGGAAACAGAGCAGAUGAAUUUGUGUCCUUUUAUCAAAAGCUGUACAAGGAACAUAUGAUUGAAGGAAUGACUUUGUCAACAGGAGGAACUUCCCAGCUUCAGGGCCAAAAUUUGUGUAGAAGCAAUUCUAUUUGGUCAAGUUUUUCUUGAUAAGGAGAAUUUAGCUUAAAAUUCUGAUAAUUGCUGCAAUUUUGAUCUAUAAUUAUGCAAAGCAGUUACUAUUUGUGUUGACGUUUUGUAGCUUUAGCUAUAGAUUUUAGAUCUAACCAAAUAAUGUAGGCAUUGCUUGGUCUGGUUUGAGAAAGUGUAGGUUGACAAUAGAUCGUUUUAGUAAAAGAAUUGUAACACCCCUAAAGGGUCUCAUUUUAAUUUAAUUUAUUCAUUCCUAAUAAAUAAAUAAAUAAAAAAAAAAGAGGAUCCCUCAUUCCAAUGUUUAUCCACCAAAAAUCAUAAUCUAAGGUCACCACCAGUUUACAUUUCUGCAAGAAACCCUACAGAAUUUUGCCAUGAAUUUUAGCUGUCAUCCUUCCUUAUCACCGUAAAGGUAAGAGAUCGUACUGGUAGCACAUAUCAGUUGUAAGAACGGAUCAGAUGAAAAAUUGAGUUAUGCAACUAUGGAAUUUUAGAACAGAAUUUCUAGCUUAUAAAGGAUGUUAUAUUCAAAGGGCACCAAUAAAGUGAAGUUAACAAUUACUGCACGGGAUUUGGAUUCUCUACAAAAAAAUAAUUCAACUACACAAAGUCUACACUUCUUUUUUUUUACAAUUCAAAUUUAAUAAACUUAUCUAACUGUAGCGAAUCGUUGUCCCUACUGCAUCCCAUGUUAGAUGUGAAUACCAUGGAAUGCUCCAAAAUCAAGCUACACUUUUCAAUUCCAAAUUCAGAAUUCAACUCAGAGUUAAUCAGCCCAACCCAACAAAGUGCAGAACCAAAAAUAGAAGCCUAUGCUUCUAUUCUUUCCUAAACCUAAAUAUCAAAAUUCACAAUCACCCACGACUCCACCCAUAUUUCCACCUUAGAAUUCAAAUUCAAACAUCUAACUGUAAUCAGAUAUUUUCGGAAAAAAUGACAUCUGCAGAGUUAAAAAUUGUUGAAAAGUGGACUUGCCAGAAAUUUAGUGGGAUAUGAAUGAAAAACUGAUAUGCCAGGAAAAGAAAAGAGGCAAAAUAUCAUAAGUUAGACAGAAUAAUGAAGCAUAUGAAAAUGCAGAACAUCAGCAAAAUUAGGUAAAUCGAGAAAGUGAAGAUACCAUUGGUGGCGAGCAUGGAGCAAGAAACGAGUUCCAUUCAAUUGGAAUUGGAAUAAAACAGUGAGAGAACCCAACCAGUUGAAAUCUAGGGCUCUGAUAGCCAUGGGAAUUGAUGAAGGGAAACUCUAGAAGAAAGAAAAGGCGUGCUACUCAAGACUCGUGUGUUAAAAUGCAUGAAUAGGAGGAGACAAAAGAAAUUGGAAUUGGAAUCAGAAUGAAAUGCAUAAGAAGAUGAGUGAAG